CAGUGGCGCACGGGUGCGUAACACGUGAGCAAUCUGCCGGGAAGUGGGGGAUAGCUCGCCGAAAGGCGAAUUAAUACCGCAUAUGGCCAUCCUUCGAGUGGAGGAAAAGCCAAAGCAGCAAUGCGCUUCCUGAUGAGCUCGCGGCCUAUCAGCUAGAUGGCGGGGUAAUGGCCCACCAUGGCUAUGACGGGUAGCUGGUCUGAGAGGACGACCAGCCACACUGGAACUGAGAUACGGUCCAGACACCUACGGGUGGCAGCAGUCGAGAAUUUUUCACAAUGGGGGCAACCCUGAUGGAGCGACGCCGCGUGGAGGAUGAAGGCCUUCGGGUUGUAAACUCCUGUCAUGCGGGAACAAGCAAGUGAUAGUACCGCAAGAGGAAGAGACGGCUAACUCUGUGCCAGCAGCCGCGGUAAUACAGAGGUCUCAAGCGUUGUUCGGAUUCAUUGGGCGUAAAGGGUGCGUAGGUGGUGACGCAAGUCUGGUGUGAAAUCUCGGAGCUUAACUCCGAAAUUGCACCGGAUACUGCGUGACUCGAGGACUGUAGAGGAGAUCGGAAUUCACGGUGUAGCAGUGAAAUGCGUAGAUAUCGUGAGGAAGACCAGUUGCGAAGGCGGAUCUCUGGGCAGUUCC
rnacentral:rRNA from 1 species